UACCAAGUAGCUGUUGAGCUUUUGCUGGGU
rnacentral:piRNA from 1 species